rnacentral:rRNA from 1 species
CCUACAGGUGGCAGCAGUAGGGAAUCUUCCACAAUGGGCGCAAGCCUGAUGGAGCAACACCGCGUGAGUGAAGAAGGGUUUCGGCUCGUAAAGCCCUGUUGUUGGAGAAGAACGUGCGUGAGAGUAACUGUUCACGCAGUGACGGUAUCCAACCAGACAGUCACGUCUAAAUACGUGCCAGCAGCCGCGGUAAUACGUAGGUGGCAAGCGUUAUCCGGAUUUAUUGGGCGUAAAGCGAGCGCAGGCGGUUGCUUAGGACUGAUGUGAAAGCUUUCGGCUUAACCGAAACAGUGCAUCGGAAACCGGGCGACUUGAGUGCAGAAGAGGACAGUGGAACUCCAUGUGUAGCGGUGGAAUGCGUAGAUAUAUGGAAGAACACCAGUGGCGAAGGCGGCUGUCUGGUCUGCAACUGACGCUGAGGCUCGAAAGCAUGGGUAGCGAACAGGAUUAGAUACCCUUGUAGUC